rnacentral:rRNA from 1 species
AACGAACGCUGGCGGCAUGCCUAAUACAUGAAGUCGAACGAGAUCUUCGGAUCUAGUGGCGCACGGGUGCGUAACGCGUGGGAAUCUGCCCUUGGGUUCGGAAUAACGCCGGGAAACUGACGCUAAUACCGGAUGAUGACGUAAGUCCAAAGAUUUAUCGCCCAAGGAUGAGCCCGCGUAGGAUUAGCUAGUUGGUAAGGUAAAGGCUUACCAAGGCGACGAUCCUUAGCUGGUCUGAGAGGAUGAUCAGCCACACUGGGACUGAGACACGGCCCAGGCUCCUACGGGAGGCAGCAGUAGGGAAUAUUGGACAAUGGGGGGAACCCUGAUCCAGCAAUGCCGCGUGAGUGAUGAAGGCCUUAGGGUUGUAAAGCUCUUUUACCCGGGAUGAUAUGACAGUACCGGGAGAAUAAGCCUCGGCUAACUCCGUGCCAGCCGCCGCAGUAA